rnacentral:rRNA from 1 species
UACAGAGGUCUCAAGCGUUGUUCGGAUUCAUUGGGCGUAAAGGGCGCGUAGGCGGCGGGGUAAGUCGGGUGUGAAGGCCCCGGGCUCAACCUGGGAAUUGCAUUCGAGACUGCGUAGCUAGGGUGCGGAAGAGGGAAGCGGAAUUUCCGGUGUAGCGGUGAAAUGCGUAGAUAUCGGAAGGAACACCAGUGGCGAAAGCGGCUUCCUGGUCCAGCACCGACGUUCAGGCACGAAAGCGUGGGGAGCAAACAGG